CUUGUAAACCGCAGAAGAAGAAGAUGCCGAUCUUAUGACAGUGCGGACCAAAGAAAAUCAAAAUCAAUUUUUGACGAUGACGAACAUUCAACUAAAAAUUUACUUAAUCGCGAUGUGACACGUAAGGAGCUGGUCUGAAGGAAAAGCAACAAUGUACACUAUAUACAAACACAAUUUGUGAACCAAUGGAGGGAUUCUUCUGUACAGACCUUAAAUCAGAAGGUUGUGCUGUAGCACAGAAACACAGGAUUUGUGAACCAGGACAGUAUAUCAGCAGCAAUGGGGUGGUUUAUUGCAAUCCAUAGGCAGGGGGGCAGAAAAUCUUUGGGAACUACUGCAGCGGUGGAUCAUUUUCUGACGGAACGAUGUUUUCAUGUCAGCCACACAGACAAUGUGAAGAAGAAAACCUUCAGAUGAUAAAAGCAGGAACAUCUUCAACUGAUGCUGAAUGUGGAAAAAAAAGUUCCCACACCACAAGAGUUGUGAUCAGUGUUCUGGUGAUUUCAUUAGUUGCAGCAACAAUUGUUGUUGUUCUCUGGAAAAAAAAAUUCCAAUUCCAAGUGAGUUGAAUGAACCAAUUAAA